rnacentral:rRNA from 1 species
AUUGAACGCUGGCGGCAGGCUUAACACAUGCAAGUCGAACGAGUGGCGGACGGGUGAGUAAUGCUUGGGAAUCUAGCUUAUGGCGGGGGAUAACUACGGGAAACUGUAGCUAAUACCGCGUACCAUAGGAUGAGCCCAAGUGGGAUUAGGUAGUUGGUGAGGGAAAGGCUCACCAAGCCGACGAUCUCUAGCUGGUCUGAGAGGAUGACCAGCCACACUGGGACUGAGACACCGCCCAGACUCCUACGGUAGGCAGCAGUGUGGACUAUGGCGUAAUGGGGGCAACCUGACGCAGCCAUGCCGCGGGAAUGAAGAAGGCCUUCGGGUUGUAAAGUUCUUUCGGUAGCGAGGCGUUAACUACAGAAGAAGCACCGGCUAACUCCGUGCCAGCAGCCGCGGUAAUAC